rnacentral:rRNA from 1 species
AGCGAACGCUGGCGGCAGGCUUAACACAUGCAAGUCGAACGCCCGUAGCUAUACGGGAGUGGCAGACGGGUGAGUAACGCGUGGGAACAUGCCCUUUGGUUCGGAAUAACUCAGGGAAACUUGAGCUAAUACCGGAUAAGCCCGAGAAGGGAAAGAUUUAUCGCCGAAGGAUUGGCCCGCGUCCGAUUAGCUAGUUGGUGAGGUAAUGGCUCACCAAGGCGACGAUCGGUAGCUGGUCUGAGAGGAUGAUCAGCCACACUGGGACUGAGACACGGCCCAGACUCCUACGGGAGGCAGCAGUGGGGAAUAUUGGACAAUGGGGGCAACCCUGAUCCAGCCAUGCCGCGUGAGUGAUGAAGGCCCUAGGGUUGUAAAGCUCUUUCGGCGGGGACGAUAAUGACGGUACCCGCAGAAGAAGCCCCGGCUAACUUCGUGCCAGCCGCCGCAGUAAAAC